ensembl:misc_RNA Y_RNA Y RNA
GGCUUGUGGAGUGCAGUGGUGUUUGUAACUAAUUGAUCACAACCAGUUACAGAUUCCUUUGUUCCUUCCCACUCCCUUGCUUCCCUUGACUAGCCUUAA